UACAGAGGUCUCAAGCGUUUGUUCGGAUUCAUUGGGCGUAAAGGGUGCGUAGGCGGCGCGGUAAGUCGGGUGUGAAAAUCUCGGAGCUUAACUCCGAAACUGCAUUCGAUACUGCCGUGCUUGAGGACUGGAGAGGAGACUGGAAUUUACGGUGUAGCGGUGAAAUGCGUAGAUAUCGUAAGGAAGACCAGUGGCGAAGGCGGGUCUCUGGACAGUUCCUGACACUGAGACACGAAGGCCAGGGGAGCAAACGGG
rnacentral:rRNA from 1 species